rnacentral:rRNA from 1 species
UACGUAGGUGGCAAGCGUUGUCCGGAUUUACUGGGCGUAAAGGGAGCGUAGGUGGAUAUUUAAGUGGGAUGUGAAAUACCCGGGCUUAACCUGGGUGCUGCACUCCAAACUGGAUACCUAGAGUGCAGGAGAGGAAAGGAGAAUUCCUAGUGUAGCGGUGAAAUGCGUAGAGAUUAGGAAGAAUACCAGUGGCGAAGGCGCCUUUCUGGACUGUAACUGACACUGAGGCUCGAAAGCGUGGGGAGCAAAACAGG